AGGGAAAGUUGCAAAGAACUUUGAAGAGAGAGUUCAAGAGGGCGUGAAACCGCUGGGAAGGAAACGGAUAGAGUUGACGAAGCCCGGUGGCAUUCAGCCGAUACGGUGCCGACGCCCGAUUGUCCUUUUUUCACCCUCUGAAAAGGGGGUGGGGACGGUUUGGUUGCGUCGGAACUGAGAUCAGUGUAUUUGCUCUGGGUGUGCGCUGAGAGGUUCGUUGCGGUAUGCUGACACUAUUGCUAAAGAGGACUAUGCUCAUCUGGGUGUGGAAACCUUUGGUUGGUUUAGGCGUAUCCGCGGUGAAUUGCCGGUUAGCUCUGGUUGUGUUGCUCCGCUGGUUUGAGCAACGGCUGCUAGGUGGCCAGUGUGACUGUUGGGCGGUCGCUUGCGACUUGCUUAUAGUUGACGCUGGCUCUUGGGCGGCGUCUAGUUGCGUUGGGUAAACACAUCUCGGUGUAAAAGUCAAUCACCUAUCCGACCCGUCUUGAAACACGGACCAAGGAGUCUAGCAUAUGCGCAAGUCAUUGGGUAGCAAACCUAGAGGCGUAAUGAAAGUAAAGAUCGCUAUAGUGCGGUUGAUAUGGGAUCCGUAUGGUUUUUGACUGUGCGGCGCACCAUAGCCCCGUCCCAGUUGCUUGCAAUGGGGCGGAGGUAGAGCGUAUACGCUGGGACCCGAAAGAUGGUGAACUAUGCCUGAGCAGGAUGAAGCCAGAGGAAACUCUGGUGGAGGUCCGAAGUGGUUCUGACGUGCAAAUCGAUCACCAGAUUUGGGUAUAGGGGCGAAAGACUAAUCGAACUAUCUAGUA
rnacentral:rRNA from 1 species